rnacentral:rRNA from 1 species
UACGUAGGGGGCUAGCGUUGUCCGGAAUCAUUGGGCGUAAAGCGCGUGUAGGCGGUCCGGUAAGUCCGCUGUGAAAGUCGGGGGGCUCAACCCUCGAAUGCCGGUGGAUACUGUCGGGCUAGAGUGCGGAAGAGGCGAGUGGAAUUCCUGGUGUAGCGGUGAAAUGCGCAGAUAUCAGGAAGAACACCCCGUGGCGAAGGCGGCUCUUCUGGGGACGGUACUUGACGCUGAGACGCGAA